rnacentral:tRNA from 1 species
GCGGGUAUGGUAUAACGGUAUUACGUCACCCUUCCAAGGUGAAGUCACGGGUUCGACUCCCGUUACCCGCU